GGACACGAGGGUGAUCAGCUAAGACAUCUGCCACCCAGUGAUAACUAGGGCUGGCCUGGGCUAGGUGGCUGUCCACUGUCUCCCUCACUGGUCCAUGUGUGUCCCCCUAAACCUGCGCACUCCCCGGGCAGAACCCUUCUCCAGUCAAAAGUGCCUGAGGAGUGUUCUCCCCUCCAGACCAGCUCUUAGGCGCCACGAAGAGGGGACAUGAGUUAGCCAAACCUCCAAGACUGCAGACCCACUGAGUGACAGGGGACAGUGCCUUUCAGAAGAGAGGAAACCAUCAGUACAUGAUGUUAGCU
ensembl:misc_RNA 7SK 7SK RNA